rnacentral:rRNA from 1 species
AGCUACAGGCUUAACACAUGCAAGUCGAGGGGCAGCAUGGUCUUAGCUUGCUAAGGCCGAUGGCGACCGGCGCACGGGUGAGUAACACGUAUCCAACCUGCCGUCUACUCUUGGACAGCCUUCUGAAAGGAAGAUUAAUACAAGAUGGCAUCAUGAGUCCGCAUGUUCACAUGAUUAAAGGUAUUCCGGUAGACGAUGGGGAUGCGUUCCAUUAGAUAGUAGGCGGGGUAACGGCCCACCUAGUCUUCGAUGGAUAGGGGUUCUGAGAGGAAGGUCCCCCACAUUGGAACUGAGACACGGUCCAAACUCCUACGGGAGGCAGCAGUGAGGAAUAUUGGUCAAUGGGCGAGAGCCUGAACCAGCCAAGUAGCGUGAAGGAUGACUGCCCUAUGGGUUGUAGACUUCUUUUAUAAAGGAAUAAAGUCGGGUAUGGAUACCCGUUUGCAUGUACUUUAUGAAUAAGGAUCGGCUAACUCCGUGCCAGCAGCCGCGGUAAUACGGAGGAUCCGAGCGUUAUCCGGAUUUAUUGGGUUUAAAGGGAGCGUAGAUGGAUGUUUAAGUCAGUUGUGAAAGUUUGCGGCUCAACCGUAAAAUUGCAGUCGAUACUGGAUAUCUUGAGUGCAGUUGAGGCAGGCGGAAUUCGUGGUGUAGCGGUGAAAUGCUUAGAUAUCACGAAGAACUCCGAUUGCGAAGGCAGCCUGCUAAGCUGCAACUGACAUUGAGGCUCGAAAGUGUGGGUAUCAAACAGGAUUAGAUACCCCUGGUAGUCCACACGGUAAACGAUGAAUACUCGCUGUUUGCGAUAUACUGCAAGCGGCCAAGCGAAAGCGUUAAGUAUUCCACCUGGGGAGUACGCCGGCAACGGUGAAACUCAAAGGAAUUGACGGGGGCCCGCACAAGCGGAGGAACAUGUGGUUUAAUUCGAUGAUACGCGAGGAACCUUACCCGGGCUUAAAUUGCAGAUGAAUUACGGUGAAAGCCGUAAGCCGCAAGGCAUCUGUGAAGGUGCUGCAUGGUUGUCGUCAGCUCGUGCCGUGAGGUGUCGGCUUAAGUGCCAUAACGAGCGCAACCCUUGUUGUCAGUUACUAACAGGUCAUGCUGAGGACUCUGACAAGACUGCCAUCGUAAGAUGUGAGGAAGGUGGGGAUGACGUCAAAUCAGCACGGCCCUUACGUCCGGGGCUACACACGUGUUACAAUGGGGGGUACAGAGGGCCGCUACCACGCGAGUGGAUGCCAAUCCCCAAAACCUCUCUCAGUUCGGACUGGAGUCUGCAACCCGACUCCACGAAGCUGGAUUCGCUAGUAAUCGCGCAUCAGCCACGGCGCGGUGAAUACGUUCCCGGGCCUUGUACACACCGCCCGUCAAGCCAUGGGAGCCGGGGGUACCUGAAGUGCGUAACCGCGAGGAGCGCCCUAGGGUAAAACUGGUGACUGGGGCUAAGUCAUAACA